ACACAUGCAAGUCGAACGGAGAAUCAGCAAUGGUUCUUAGUGGCGAACGGGUGAGUAACGCGUAGACAACCUGCCUCAAAGAUGGGGACAACACCGCGAAAGUGGUGCUAAUACCGAAUGUUGCAUUAGAUUCGCAUGAAUCUGAUACUAAAGGUGGCCUCUUUAAAUGCUACCGCUUUGAGAUGGGUCUGCGUCUGAUUAGCUAGUUGGUGAGGUAACAGCUCACCAAGGCGAUGAUCAGUAGCCGGUCUGAGAGGAUGAACGGCCACACUGGGACUGAGACACGGCCCAGACUCCUACGGGAGGCAGCAGUGGGGAAUCUUCCGCAAUGGACGAAAGUCUGACGGAGCAACGCCGCGUGAGUGAAGAAGGUUUUCGGAUCGUAAAGCUCUGUCUUUGAGGACGAAUGUGCUUAAUGUGAAUAAUGUUAAGUAAUGACGGUACUCGAGGAGGAAGCCACGGCUAACUACGUGCCAGCAGCCGCGGUAAUACGUAGGUGGCAAGCGUUGUCCGGAAUUAUUGGGCGUAAAGCGCGCGCAGGCGGGAUAUUAAGUCUGUCUUAAAAGUUCGGGGCUCAACCCCGUGAUGGGAUGGAAACUAAUAUUCUUGAGUGCAGGAGAGGAAAGUGGAAUUCCCAGUGUAGCGGUGAAAUGCGUAGAUAUUGGGAGGAACACCAGUGGCGAAGGCGACUUUCUGGACUGUGUCUGACGCUGAGGCGCGAAAGCCAGGGGAGUGAACGGGAUUAGAUACCCCGGUAAUCCUGGCCGUAAACGAUGGGUACUAGGUGUAGGAGGUAUCGACCCCUUCUGUGCCGGAGUUAACGCAAUAAGUACCCCGCCU
rnacentral:rRNA from 1 species